rnacentral:rRNA from 1 species
AACGAACGCUGGCGGCAGGCUUAACACAUGCAAGUCGAACGCCCCGCAAGGGGAGUGGCAGACGGGUGAGUAACGCGUGGGAAUCUACCGUACCCUACGGAACAACAGUUGGAAACGACUGCUAAUACCGUAUACGCCCUACGGGGGAAAGAUUUAUCGGGGUAUGAUGAGCCCGCGUUGGAUUAGCUAGUUGGUGGGGUAAAGGCCUACCAAGGCGACGAUCCAUAGCUGGUCUGAGAGGAUGAGCAGCCACAUUGGGCCUGAGACACGGCCCAAACUCCUACGGGAGGCAGCAGUGGGGAAUAUUGGACAAUGGGCGCAAGCCUGAUCAAGCCAUGCCGCGGGAGUAAUAAAGGUCUUAGGAUUGUAAAGCUCUUUCACCGAUGAAGAUAAUGACGGUAGUCGGAGAAGAAGCCCCGGCUAACUUCGUGCCAGCAGCCGCAGUAA